rnacentral:tRNA from 1 species
GUUGUUUAGCUUAAUGGUGCAGUGCACUCAACUGGAUUUUGAGAGUAACAGGGUUCGGUUCCCUGUAGCAACU